GAAGUAAACCACGAUGGUUGGCAAUAAGGAUCUUAUGCAGGGUUAAUUUCCUUGUCCUGGGCUGGAAUUUAAUGUUGUUUCAUGAUAACAUCACAACAGAGGCUCUUCGGGUGAGGCAUUGGCCACACUUGUUUUAACACCAGCGCUGAGAGACAAUGGCAAGAAGAAGACUUCUGUGAGUUCAAGGCCAGUUGGAUUUACAGAAAAAACUGGUGAUAAGGAUGCUGAACUGUAGCUCUCCACAAUUGACAGCUUCUAGCAGGAAUUCGGGUGGUGAAAGACACAGUGUUCUCUAAGGGGCUAGCCGCCAUGCUCCAGUGAGUAUAUGGGCAACACGAAUUGGACUUGUUUUGUUUAUUUGUUUUCUUCUAUCCUUCCUUUUCCCUUGCUUUUUCCUUCCUCUCUCUCUAUCCUCUCUCUCUCCCCCACCCCUCUCUCUCUCCCCCACCCCUCUCUCUCUCUUCCUCCUCUUCCUCCUCCUCCUCGUCCUCCUCCUCCUCCUUUUUGGCAGAGGGUUGUCACAAGGACAGGAAAACAGACCUGGGAGGACUAGAAAGUGAGUGUGCUCAGGGUUCAUGAUGUGAAAUCUCCCAAAAUCAAUAAAACUAUUGUUUAAAAACAAAAGAACCAAAAGAACCUCUUUUUGUGAGAUUAUGGAAUUAGCCUUACAAGCUUGAAAACCUUGUUUCAAUUCCCAGAAUCCGUGUAAAAACUGCAAGAGAGUGCUAGCAUGUGCUUGUAAUUUCAGGGCUGGGGAGACAAGGUAGAAAAAUCCCUAGGAUUCAGUGGCCCAUCUGACAAGCCUACAUGGCAACCUCUAGACCAGCGACAGACCCUGUCUCAAUGGAGUUGUAUGAUACUCCUCAAGAUAACACCUAAUUUAUCCUCUGACUUCUACAUGCAUGCAUGUGCAUGUAUACCUGCAUAUACAUACGUAUCUACCUCCACAUAGUUGAACUUGCACAUACACAUUCACAGAAAAAGAAAACUCCUUUGUAACUUCUGUAAUUACUGUUAAAUAUUACUGUAAUUCUGUUAAAAUAUCUGAGGUUAUCUGGACUCCAAAAAUAUUUGAGGAGAGUCCUAGGAGCUAGGAAAAUGUCUAGGUGGGUAAAACAUUUACUGGAAAUGUAUGCAGAUAUGAGUUCAUAGAAGACAGCACCCAUAGAAAGGGUCGGGCAUGGUGGCAUUCAUCUGUAAUUUCAGCACUGAAAGGUGGAGGCAGACACUUACACACACACACACACACACACACACACACACACACACCAGAGAUCUUUGAGUGUACCUCAGAGGCUGGGUGGGUUAGGCCUAUUGCAGGGAGUCACCAUGGCCAGGUCUGAAAGAGGGUCCUACCAGGGUCCUCAUUGCCAAAGAGAAAGUUCAUCUCUGAGGACCUGGUCAGAACAUCUGUGCCAUCCUCCUAGCAGAGCCGAA
ensembl:lncRNA